rnacentral:rRNA from 1 species
UGGGCGUAAGCGCAGCGCAGGCGGUUCUCUUAAGUCGUGAUGUGAAAGCCCCCGGCUCAACCGGUGGAGAGUGUCAUUGGAAACUGCGGAGACUUGAGUGCAGAAGAGGGAAGAGUGGAAUUCCCUGGGUAGCGGUGGAAUGCGUAGAUAUAUGGAGGAACACCAGUGGCGAAGGCGACUUUCUGGUCUGAAACUGACACUGAGGCGCGAAAGCGUGGGGAGCAAACAGGAUUAGAUACCCCCCGUAGUCCUAAA